rnacentral:lncRNA from 1 species
CCGAGCGCGAGUGUGUGCGUGUGCGAGCUGGUCGGGGGCGGCUGGUGCGGCGACGGCGGCAACGGCGGUGCGAGUCGCAUUGAACCGCGAUGAUCGUGCUGUGGGAGAUUGGAAAAUCUCCAUGCGUGCUAUGUUUGGCUAGGCAGACGAUGAACAAAUAGAGCCGGGUAUGAACGUAUGGCACAAGAUCUAACCAGCUUUUUCCGGGAUACCAGCAAGCGCUACAGCUGUUGCGCCGUCUUGUUACAGAAGGACUGGGCAUCCGCAGACACAAGUGCAGUCCUACAACCACUGCUGGUGUCAAGUGCAGGAAAAUAACAAGGGGCUCACAGAUUUUUGUUCUCUGGUACAGAGCAGCCGAGACAGCAUAAUGCUGGAUUGUAACUCUGUUGUUACAGUGUCUUUCACCAAGCACAGCUGUUCCGGGGACGGCCACGUGCUGUCUUUUUGCCUGUUUGCUACGGUCGACACGGUGGAGGCAGGUCGUGACAUUGCACGGACGGCUGGACACCGAAGCGACGCAGGCUGACCAUCAACCUUCUCAAGGGUGACCCAUCUUCAGCCUCCUGAGUACGCUGAAGGCAUCAUACUCACCUAGCCUGAGAAGCCAGUUCCGCCCUCCCUUGGCCACUGUGUCGAAGUUUCUGCGAAGCACCUUCUCGGCAGUGGUGCAGAGAUGCAGAAUGUCUGGGGAUGGACUGUGGAGACCGCCCUUGUCCUUGACACG